rnacentral:rRNA from 1 species
UACGAAGGGGGCGAGCGUUGUUCGGAAUUACUGGGCGUAAAGGGCGCGCAGGCGGCCUUAGAAGUCAGAUGUGAAAGCCCCGGGCUCAACCUGGGAAUGGCAUUUGAUACUCUGAGGCUGGAGUACGGGAGAGGAGAGUGGAAUUCCCAGUGUAGAGGUGAAAUUCGUAGAUAUUGGGAAGAACACCGGUGGCGAAGGCGGGUCUCUGGGCCGAUACUGACGCUGAGGAGCGAAAGCGUGGGGAGCGAACAGG